rnacentral:rRNA from 1 species
UUGAACGCUGGCGGCAGGCCUAACACAUGCAAGUCGAGCGGAUGAAGGGAGCUUGCUCCUGGCUUCAGCGGCGGACGGGUGAGUAAUGCCUAGGAAUCUGCCUGGUAGUGGGGGAUAACGUCCGGAAACGGGCGCUAAUACCGCAUACGUCCUGAGGGAGAAAGUGGGGGAUCUUCGGACCUCACGCUAUCAGAUGAGCCUAGGUCGGAUUAGCUAGUUGGUGGGGUAAAGGCCUACCAAGGCGACGAUCCGUAACUGGUCUGAGAGGAUGAUCAGUCACACUGGAACUGAGACACGGUCCAGACUCCUACGGGAGGCAGCAGUGGGGAAUAUUGGACAAUGGGCGAAAGCCUGAUCCAGCCAUGCCGCGUGUGUGAAGAAGGUCUUCGGAUUGUAAAGCACUUUAAGUUGGGAGGAAGGGCAGUAAGUUAAUCCCUUGCUGUUUUGACGUUACCAACAGAAUAAGCACCGGCUAACUUCGUG